AAUGGCCGGGACAAAGGGUCGCGAUCCCGCGAGGGUGAGCUAACCCCAAAAACCCGUCCUCAGUUCGGAUUGCAGGAUGCAACUCGCCUGCAUGAAG
rnacentral:ncRNA from 1 species